UGCAUUCACUACUGUAAGUCGCUCUGGAUAAGAGUGUCUACUAAAUGUUGUGUU
rfam:Salmo salar isolate Sally breed double haploid chromosome ssa04, whole genome shotgun sequence.